rnacentral:rRNA from 1 species
AUUGAACGCUGGCGGCAUGCUUUACACAUGCAAGUCGAACGGCAGCGCGGGGCAACCUGGCGGCGAGUGGCGAACGGGUGAGUAAUACAUCGGAACGUACCCAGAAGUGGGGGAUAACGUAGCGAAAGUUACGCUAAUACCGCAUACGUUCCACGGAAGAAAGUGGGGGACCUUCGGGCCUCAUGCUUUUGGAGCGGCCGAUGUCUGAUUAGCUAGUUGGUGAGGUAAAGGCUCACCAAGGCGACGAUCAGUAGCUGGUCUGAGAGGACGACCAGCCACACUGGGACUGAGACACGGCCCAGACUCCUACGGGAGGCAGCAGUGGGGAAUUUUGGACAAUGGGCGCAAGCCUGAUCCAGCAAUGCCGCGUGAGUGAAGAAGGCCUUCGGGUUGUAAAGCUCUUUUGUCAGGGAAGAAACGGCUGAGGAUAAUACCUUCGGCUAAUGACGGUACCUGAAGAAUAAGCACCGGCUAACUACGUG